rnacentral:lncRNA from 1 species
AUUGGUGAAUCUCAAGAAUCUGUCCAGACCUACAUCAGAUCAUAUCCCACUAUUAUUGCAAAUUGAAUCGGGUAAGUCCUCUGUUAACAAACCUUUCUGAUUCAAAAUUCUUGGUUCUCAAUUCUAGGUUGUCAGGAAAAGAUCCGAUCAUGGUGGGAAAAUGGGCCAAAUUCUGAAGAUGCUAUUGCAGAGAUAGCUCUAAAACUCUGCCCAUUACUCUUUAAACUAAAAACCUGGAAUCGAGAGAAAGUAGAAAAUAUUAUUCAGAGAAAGGGAAUACUCAAAAAGGAUAGACCAACUUGACUUUCAAGAAGAAACAGAAAAAAUGCUAGCAACUGAGAUAGAAGAAUGAACUCAACUAAAAAUUGAACUGGUUAAGGUGCUACAACAGGAAGAAACGUUGUGGUGGAAAAGAGCAAGAGUAUAAUGGCUCUAAAAUGGUGAUCAAAACAC